rnacentral:lncRNA from 1 species
CUGGUAUGGAGUACCAUGGCCUCUUUUUUUGCCGCUCAUGGCAGCCAUUUUGCACUGGUAACCAUGGCACUUUUAUUAAGAUAUGUGUACCAGCCCCUCAAUAUAUAUAGUUUUUUAUCCCAAAAAGUAGUGUGUUAGAACAACCAGUGCUCCAAACUUUGCUUAGCUGCAUACCAUUUCUCUUCAAUUAAAUUAUGGAACACUUAAUCCCAUUUAUUGGCAUCUACACUAAGGAUAAUGAGAUGGGGUGGUUGGCCUUCCAUUAUGUUGUUGUGCAGCUUUUAUUAUUUGUAGUCUAUGACCUCUGAGUAUAAUUCUACAUUGCAUUUAUCAAGACAAAAGCCUUUGUAUGGACAUAAAUUCAAAUUAUGGCUGAAAUCAAAGGCAGAAUCCAAAUGUAGUCAUUGGGCAUGCAAGCUUAUGGUUUUAAAUCAAAUAGCCCCCUUAACUGAGAAAUAUUCUUGACUGCAAUUUUUCCAUCAGCUCUUCUCAACCCUGACUAUCCAAAAUGUUUCGAUUAUCACGAAGAUUCACUUGUUUUAUAUUCCCUCCUUAGGUGCUGUAUCAUCGAAUAAAUUCUGCUAUAUGUCUUGAUUUACCACAAAAGUUAAGUGUCAUAUUUUAAGCAAAUAAAAAUGAUUAAAAGAUGACAGCUGGCAAAUUAUGCUAACAUCUGGUAACAAAUCAUUCCUGACAGUUCAAUACUAAAAUUCUUAUAGCUCAGCUAUUAAUGUUAUAAACAGUGAGUGAGUUGUGGGGGGGAAAGUAGCACUUGACUAAUAUAUUCCCUGAAGUGAUAGGGAAAAUGCACUGUUUAUCUUAAUGGGAAAGAAAUGCCAUCCAUUCGUUUUCUGUGUUCAAAACAGAUUGUAGAUGAAUAACUCUAAACACAGACUUUUAACUAGCCUUAACAUUAUAUAUGAAAUGAUUGUGAGGAGAAGGAAUUCAAAAAAUGGAGGGUCACUCAGGUCUCUCAAAAUGAUAAUAUGUUUUGUUGCUGUUGUUUGAGGAUAGAGAUUUGUUCUUAUUUUUUUUUAGUAGUUUAGGGUCAGUUCUCACAAAUGCUUCUGGACAUUGUUUUUCAUCUGUAGUAAUAAAGAGAUUGAUUGAGGAGUCUGCCAGUGAUCCAUAGUUUGAUUCAGAAAGCUAGUCAAAAUUAUCUUAUUUGAUUUUGGCUUCCGGCCAAGUGCCUAGACAAGCAAUACAACAAACUAAAGGCUGGCUCUCUAGUUGUUUUUGGACUACAACUCCCAUCAGCCCCAGCUGGCAUGGCCAAUGGCCAGGCAUGAUGGGAGUUGUAGCAACAUCUGGAGGGUACCAUACUGGCUACCCUUGUUAUAUGUUAUUUACAACGUUGAUAAAAUAUUUGCAAUGUCUGGGAGUCAGGUUCCAUAUGGAUGCCAUAAUGUAUUACACUUGCCUUCUGGUGUGGAAAUGCCUACUUGUGAGGGAAAAUACCAGGCUGUGGUGAUUGUGGGUAUACUUUUUAAAAAUUCCAUCCUCAGAUAAGGCUGUACUUCUUCCUCUCCUAUACAAACUAUUAUCUGCCAUCCAUAGCUAAAAAUCCCAGUGUUCAUAGGGGCCUGAAAGUGUAUCUGGUCCAUAUACAAAGGGCAUACAACCAACUACACCUCUCUUUGUCUCUUUUCAUCCUACCUCCCUGGGGCAAUACACUUUCAAGAUGGAUACAGCUGUGUAUUUCUCUGGCCUAUGAGGCACAGAAGCUACCUGUUUCCAGACACUUGACCGCUCACUCUACGAGGUCAGUGGCAACUUCCACUGCCUUUUCUACAAAUGCCUCUUUGCUAGAAAUAUGCGGUGUGGCAUAUGCCAGGUGUCCUUUCACCAGGCAUUAUGAAAUGAAUGCCUUUGCUUCUGCUGAAGCAGAAUUUGCCUAGAGAGUCCUUCAGUCAGCUCUACAACAGUAAUUCCUGUUGUAGCUGGGACCCACCGUAGUUGGGUGAGCUGUUGGAACUGCCUUGGCAACUGUUCUGAGCCACCUGAAAGCCCAAUUUGGCAUAAAGGGUCCCAUGGUCCUGUCUUCCAUUAAACUGUAUCUGGUUUUAAAAAUGUGAUAUGCAGAUACCUCACAAAAUCACUUGAGUAGGCAGUGAUCAAGUGGAAUGGGUUGAGGAACUAACUGAUGGUUGUACUGUGGAAUAUUUAUAACCUGGUGCUGUUUUAAUCUGGCUGUUUUUUUAUGGUUCCUAGAAUCCCUUUAGGUGUUAAUGUUUUAUGAAUGCUUGGAUUGUGGUGUUAUUUGUUGUUUCAAUUGCACUCAGCUUCAAGUGCCAUUUGAGAGAGAAGGCUGCUUCUAAGUGCCUGAAAUAAAUAAUUAAUACAUAAUUAUCACCUUCCACUAACUUGGCUUAGUUGAUGGUUACUGUUAUUUUAUUUUAUUUUAAGAACGCUUUGUCCAAGACAACUGAGCUAUGAUAGCUAUUUUUCAAAAAUCCAUUAUCAUUCUGCCAAGGACGGCCAUAUGAAUCGGCUUUGAUCAUAACUGAGGCAAAUUAGAUUUUUUGAGUUCUUAGUAAGAGACAAAUAGAAUUCCAUUGAUAGAUGUUGCAGAAAAAAUUAGUAAGGUUACAUAAAGAGUUGGGGCAUACAUGUGAUUCAAUUUACAUUUUAAGGUGAACCUACCUAAUUCGCCUUUUCCAAAACAAUAUGAGAACCGAAAAAUAGCCAUCCUUCAGAAUGUCCACUGCUCCGAAUUUAGGAUUGCAGUUAUCUAGCCAGGCAAUGUGUACAACAAUCCACAUGUUCAGUGCUGGAUUUAUGUAUAAGCUAAACAAGCUAUAGCUUAGGGCCCCACUCUCUUGAGGGCCCCCCAAAAAAUGUAAAGGAAAAAACAACCUGGAUGUACAUUUCCAAAAUAUAAGAUAAAAAACCAAAUAAAAUAAAACCUACAUACAGCAGCAGUAUUUUGUGUAGUGUAGGCUCCUAUGAUGUAAGUAAUGGGCCCCGUCUGCUAGCCUGCUCCCUAAAAUAUCAUUGGUUUGCUCAUUUCUAUAUCAAUUACUUUGAUAAAAUACAUAUUUUGUUACGUGCAAAUGGCUUUAGAUACCUAUUAGGUCUAUAAAUUACCAUAUAGCAUAUAUUCAACACAAAAAACAGCAACAAUUUGUUGUUGACAAAGGACAGUUGGAUAUAUAAAGGGCUCAUUACCUUCAGUAGCUUAGGGCCUCCUCAGAGCUAAAUCCGGCCCUGCACAUGUUUCUGUUUUACAGAGGGAUGAGGCUUGGGACUUUGACUCAGUCUGAAAUUCAAGGUUGAAGAGUGUGAAGGAAGCGAAAAUAAUAAUGGACUCACAUAUAAUGGUUUUUGUAUUGUUGUACUAAUAACUAAUAGUUCCACAGUUGGAAACCUGGCUAUUCAAGUUGGGUCCCUUUCGACAGGCAAUGAAGUCAAGCCAUCUGAGAAGAUGCUGUCUGGUUUUUUUUAUUUGUUUUUUUCUCUUUUGCUUUUAUAGCAAUCUGGCCAGUAUAAUUGUAUUGCACUGGAGGACAUUGGCACUAGGAGGCAGCAGGUGUAAUCUAUGUGACAAGAUCAGCCCAAAUCUAUUCGCUUCCAGACAAUUAUAUGCUUUAUUAAAAUUCAACUGUAGAUAAAAAAUGUCAAUAAGUGGG